rnacentral:rRNA from 1 species
AUUGAACGCUGGCGGCAGGCCUAACACAUGCAAGUCGAGCGGAUGAAGGGAGCUUGCUCCUGGAUUCAGCGGCGGACGGGUGAGUAAUGCCUAGGAAUCUGCCUGGUAGUGGGGGAUAACGUCCGGAAACGGGCGCUAAUACCGCAUACGUCCUGAGGGUGAAAGUGGGGGAUCUUCGGACCUCACGCUAUCAGAUGAGCCUAGGUCGGAUUAGCUAGUUGGUGGGGGAAAGGCCUACCAAGGCGACGAUCCGUAACUGGUCUGAGAGGAUGAUCAGUCACACUGGAACUGAGACACGGUCCCGACUCCUACGGGAGGCAGCAGUGGGGAAUAUUGGACAAUUGGCGAAAGCCUGAUCCAGCCAUGCCGCGUGUGUGAAGAAGGUCUUCGGAUUGUAAAGCACUUUAAGUUGGGAGGAAGGGCAGUAAGUUAAUACCUUGCUGUUUUGACGUUACCAACAGAAUAAGCACCGGCUAACUUCGUG